UUAGAAGGAUCAAAGGCUAAGAACACGGCAUCCUGCCGCAACGCCUUCGUGACCCACAUCGUGUGGG
rnacentral:sRNA from 1 species